rnacentral:rRNA from 1 species
GACGUAGGGCGCGAGCGUUGUCCGGAUUUAUUGGGCGUAAAGAGCUCGUGGGCGGCUUGUCGCGUCGUUCGUGAAAACCCGGGGCUCAACUCCGGGCUUGCGGGCGAUACGGGCAGGCUAGAGUUCGGUAGGGGAGACUGGAAUUCCUGGUGUAGCGGUGAAAUGCGCAGAUAUCAGGAGGAACACCGAUGGCGAAGGCAGGUCUCUGGGCAUUAACUGACGCUGAGGAGCGAAAGCAUGGGGAGCGAACAGG